CAGAGGAUGGAUAGGGAGAUGUGAUCUGCUUGCUCUGCUUCUGAGCACCAGGAAUAGUGUGUUGUCUCUUUUAAAUGUGUGGGUUUUGGUCUAGUGCAGUUGGAGGCAAUGUAUUAGGUGGGAGCAGUGACUCUGCUGGCCCAGAGUGCAAGGACAUGUGGGGCCCUCCAUCCACUGGCUCUGCUCCUCCCCGAGGCACAGAGGGACAGGAGAAAAGACCCCGGCCUACAGCUCUUCCCCUAAAAACAGUGGAUUUAAAUCAGAAAGUUCCUAGAAAUGCUCCAAAACUAGAAACUCCCCAGUUCCUGCUGCCACCCUUUUCUUCUUGUGAAGAUCCCUCUCCUUGGAAAGGGCUGGGGAAUAUUGCAGCAGCUUCCAGCUGGGCUAUGCUCGGUGGGCUGCCUUGGCUGGGAUAGCUCAGUGGGCUCAGCACAGCGUCCGAAUUCCCAAGCAGCUCCCAGCUGCAGGCAACCUAAGCAAGCUUAUGUGAUUUCAGCUCUUAGUGAUUAUCAGCUCUUUAUGAUUUCAGCUCUUUAGCAUGCUGGUGCCACAGCAGCAGACGCAGGGAGAGAGAGGAGAAGGCAGUGUGAGGUUCCACAGAAUUCUUUAUUGCUCUACGAAGGUUCUCAGUGACGUUCUACCAAACCAGGCAGAAGUGCAUGUCACGCUGCAGGGGAACACCAGCAGGCUCAGUGUUGGGACUUGCCCUGAAACAGCUACAGAGGGAGCUCCCCUGGGAAUCGACAGGAGCUUAUCUGUACUUCAGGCCUCCUCUGGAACGUCAAAGUAACAUCUUGAGUUCAGAAGCCCUUAAUGAACACAGCAGACCAAAUUCUGCUUCAGAAUAUGCAAGUGCGGCUCCUAUUGAAGUAAAUGGGCGCUCUGCCUGCAUCUGAGAUAAGGAUCUGGCUUGUAGCAAGGCUUAAAGGGGUAUACACUGGGUUUUAAUGGACUGUCGCCUACAACAGAAGGGAUUUUUAAGCUAUUUUCAGUUAUUUCUAGUGUUGCAACAGAUUAUGUUUUCUUGUUUUGAUGCUACAUCUUCUGCAUACUGGUUUAAUAAGGCAUAGAAAUGGAAAUAAAGCAAUCCGACCAGA